rnacentral:lncRNA from 13 species
AUGAAAGGGUCUCAGGAGGACAGAGAGGGGUGGGAGAGCACUCUGGAGAGACAGAUCAUCAGCCGAGGGUCAAAGCUGGGGCGCAGACUGGACUCCCACAGGGAGUGUGUCCGCAAAGUUCAACUGGCCCAAGGGGCGUGGGCCUUGACUGACCCUCUUACCCAGUACUGGCUCAGUCAGGAUGGAGAACAAUCCAUGGAUUCUAGGAUUUACCUGCUGGAGAAGGUCUUGCCGUCUCUGGUCCCAUGUGUCGGGCAGCUCCUUAGAGAGGCAGAGCGGAGGGGAGAGACUGAGGGAGAGGGAGAAGAAGGGGAAAGGAGGAGGCGUGAGGUUGAAGUGGGUUCAUCUCCCUUCAGUCCCCUGCUUUAUCUGGGCCAUUGCUUGAUAAGGUCCUCCUCUGCCCCCUCUCUUCAUCCCCCUCUCAAUUCCAUCCCCCUCCUUUCUGACCGAGAAGAGGCAGAGGCAGCCCAGUACCGCCUGGGGCUGGAGCUCACUCUGCAACUGCUACAUGCACCAUGCAGCCGGUGGGAUAUAUUCAUCACCCCUGAGAGAGAGAGGGAGCGAGAGAGAGAGAGAGAGAGAGAGAGAGGGAGGGAGGGAAAGAAAGAGAGAGAGAGAGAGAGAGAGAGAGAGAGAGAGAGAGAGAGGGGGAAAUGGAAAGGGAGAGAAAAUCACAGAUGGGGCACAAUACCAAAGUGAAGGGGAGGAAGGGAGAGGAGUGGGGAGAGGUGAUUGUGUAUGGAGUAAUGACAGAAUGAUUGAUGGCAUCUCCCCCCAAACCGUAUUGCUCCUCCUCCAUCAGUGCAGGCUUGGUUAGGAUGCUACUCUACCCUAAAGAAGAACCAAAGGCGAAAAUCUACUCAUAUGCCUGUCUUAUACCCCAUUUCAUUAAAUUGGUAAUUGUAUUUUAUAGAGAUUGUUGAUGGUGGAACAUACAGUGUAUCUGGGCCUCCAUGUGCCUUUAUCCUCAUUCCUUGGCUCAAUGAUUUUCACAGCCCAUGAGGCUGCUCUCACCCCACCAGAAGUACUGUAGUACCUAUUUCUCUCAUGUCUCAAAUAAUCUGGCACACCAUUAUUCAAUAAUAAUAAACAUUUACGGUACCCCUCAUUUGGUUACGGUACCCCUCAUUUGGUUACGCUCUCUCUCUCACACAGAAACAGAGAGAAUGAACAAUUGAAGACUGAUGAUUAUACAACAUUUUCAUGAGUAAGCACUCUAAAGACCAUAAUGAAGCCCAGUGGUGGAAAAAGCACCCAAUUUUCAUACUUGAGCAAAAGUAAAGAAACCUUAAAAGAAAAGGACUCAAGAGAAAGUUAAUAUUUUUACAGUUUUGGAAACUUUAGAGUGUUUUCUAUCCUAAGCUGUCAAUUAUAUGCAUAUUCUAGCAUCUUGUCCUGACAAAAUAUCCCGUUUACUACGGGAACGUUUUUUUCUUCCAAAAAUGAAAAUACUGCCCCCUAGUCACAACAGGUUAAAAGAAAAGGACUCAAGAAAAAGUGAAAGUCACCCAGUAAAAUACCACUUGAGUAAAAGUCUAAAAGUAUUUGGUUUUAAAUGUACUUAAGUAUCAAAAGUAAAAAUAUAAAUAAUUUAAAAUGUCUUAUAUUAAGCAAACCAGACUACACUAUUUCUUGUUUUUUUUAAUUGACGGAGAUCCAGGGUCACAGUUCAACACUCAGACAAAAUUCACAAACAAAGCAUGUAUGUUAAAUGAGUCCUCCAGAUCAGAGGCAGUAGGGAUGACCAGGGAUGUUCUCUUGAUAAGUGCGUGAAUUAGACCAUUUUCCUGUCCUGCUAAGCAUUCAAAGUUUAACGAGUACUUUUGGGUGUCAGGGAAAAUGUGAGGAGUAAAAAGUGCAUCAUUUUCUUUAGGAAUGUAGUGGAGUAAAAGUAAAAGUUGUCAAAAAUAUAAAUAGUAAAGUACAGAUACCCCCCAAAAACGACUUAAGUAGUAUUUAAAAGUAUUUUUACUUAAGUACUUUACACCACUGAUGAAGGCUGUAUCCUACUGUAUCCUCCGUCAACAAGAAACCAAAACAAAAUACACAGUAUGUCAUCAGUUCUAUCAGCGGCAGAGCAAUAGGUCACACUUUAUUUGGAUAGUCUGGAUAGUCCAUCUGUAGAUGCUCUACAGAUGGUCAUACUAUCAACAAACUAUCUGUUGAUAAGCAACUGCUUGCUAAGGUUACAGUUAGGGUUAGGUUUAGAAUAAAGUUAAGGGUUAAGGUUAGGUUUAGGGAUAGGAUAAGGGUUAAGGUUAGGGUUAGGGUUAGUAGAUAGUUAGUUGAAAUGUUACUAAUAGUCUGUAGAGCAUCUACAGAUGGACUAUCCAAAUAAAUUGUUACAGAGCAAUAUUGUAGGAAUUGAAUGGAUAUCUGUUCAAAGUCCAGGGAAAAACAUACCAUUUCACAAACGUCCUUAUUUAACCCAUGGUUAACCCUUCCCAUUUGUCCUAUAUUGUCCCAGCUUGUCUGAGCUGAAGAGGCAGGUGGGGCAGUGCAGGGUGGAGCUGCAGAGGGGAGAGGAGAUCCAGAGGCGUACCGUGGAGAGACGGAGGG